CCUACGGGGGGCUGCAGUAGGGAAUCUUCCGCAAUGGACGAAAGUCUGACGGAGCAACGCCGCGUGAGUGAAGAAGGUUUUCGGAUCGUAAAACUCUGUUGUCAGAGAAGAACAAGUUGGAGAGUAACUGCUCCAGCCUUGACGGUAUCUGACCAGAAAGCCACGGCUAACUACGUGCCAGCAGCCGCGGUAAUACGUAGGUGGCAAGCGUUGCCCGAAUCGAGCGCGCGUAAAGCCUUAGCAGUGGUUUGAAAGCCCACGGCUCAACCGUGGAAGGUCAUUGGAAACUGGGGAACUUGAGUGCAGAAGAGGAGAGUGGAAUUCCAUGUGUAGCGGUGAAAUGCGUAGAUAUAUGGAGGAACACCAGUGGCGAAGGCGACUCUCUGGUCUGUAACUGACGCUGAGGCUCGAAAGCGUGGGGAGCAAACAGGAUUAGAUACCCGUGUAGUC
rnacentral:rRNA from 1 species